rnacentral:ncRNA from 1 species
GCUUUGCUACGGUGGUGGGGAACCCCGACGAGACGCGCCGUACCGGGUAGCCGUGGCUGGACGACAAGACGACGCCCC